rnacentral:piRNA from 1 species
UCCCACCAGGUCGAAUGACGUUAGGGUGA